UUUUUUUUUUUUUUUUUAUUGAGACAGAGUCUCACUCUGUCACCAGGCUGGAGUGCAAGGGCGUGAUCAUGGCUCACUGCAACCUCUGUCUCCCAGGUUCAAGCGAUUCUCCUGCCACGUGGGCACGUGCCACCAUGCCCGGCUAAUUGUUGUGUUUUUAGUGGAGACGGGGUUUCACCAUGUUGGCCAGGAUGGUUUCUAUCUCUUGACCUCGUGAUCCACCCACCUUGGCCUCCCAAAGUGCUGGCGUGAGCCACUGCGCCCAGCCGACCCUGGAUUUUUAAUAAGAGUCUCUGCAAUGAUGAAUGCACAAAACGUAAGAGAACCCAAAUGUGAAGGACUGAAGGUGUAACCCUUGGUUAUUGGCAUGAUCUUGUGGCUAAUUACUAUUUCAUAUUUAAGCUUUAGUACCUAGGUUUUGUGGACUCUGACUCUAUUAUCACUUGGAAUAUUUUUAUAAUAAGACAGGUCCUAUAGCAAUUCCUAAUAGGCAGGAAUUAUUUUUGCUCUGUUCUCCAAAUAUUUGAAGUUGAAUUCAUCUUUGCUCAUAUGAAGAUCAUCAAAUGAAAAGAGAAACACAAGACCAAAUUAUUAUCAAAGCCUUCCUAACAAAUCUUCAGAUCUCUCCCAUCUUUCCUGAUUUAUUAAUGAAAAAAAGAGGCAGCUUCUGGUGGUGGAUAGAUUCGGUUUCAAUAUCCUUGAAUAUUCACUAGGAAUGAUACUAAUAAUCAACUCCAGAUAUCUUGAGACGAUGCAUAUUAUAGGCAUAAGGCUGAUAGGGUAUUGCUUUAAGUCUUAGUAUGAGGUCCAACUCCCUGAAAGUUUCCUAAUAUCUUUAUGAUAUUUUUCUUUGCUUUGCCUGAUCAUUUUGCACAAUAGCCCCUCUCACACUGUCAUUCUGGAUUUCACAUCUUUUCUUCACUGCCACCUGCUUUUCUGUUGAAAACAAAUAUUUCCUUUAAUCUCUCUUGUGUUCAGAGUACUAGUGUGUUUGACUCUGCCCUCUGCUUUUAAAUAGUAUUAUCCAAAAAUGUAUUUAGGUUCUCAUUUUCUCCAACUAAAUUAUUUUAAAGUUAUAAUUUAAUUAUUUCAAGGUUACAAUUUUAAAGUA
rnacentral:lncRNA from 1 species